AGGUGAAUGGCAGGCUUGUAUGGGACUUUCGUACCGCUAAUAAAAUUUCGUGUUUUGGGAUAUUUUUUGUUUUAAUUGAUGGGUAAUAUGAUAGACAAGCCCUCUGUAAAUUCUUAGAUUUUUAGAACUUGGGAAGUAAAAGUUAUAACCAGUUUUGUUUUUUAAGGUUAUGUACCACAGUAUACCCAUAUAAGUUGUUUUAGCUAGGUACAUAAACAUUGUUAUGGGUUAUAAUUGGUGGGUAAUAUGAUGCAAGGCAAGCCCUUUGUAAAUUCUUAGAUUUUUAGAACUUGGGAAGUAAAAGUUAUAACCAGUUUUGUUUUUUAAGGUUAUGUACUACAGUGUACCCAUGUAAGUUGUUUUAGCUAGGUACAUAAACAUUGUUAUGGUAAUGAUAAAAUAAAUGUUCUACCUAGCUUGUCUCUUAA
rnacentral:lncRNA from 1 species